GAUGAACGCUGGCGGCGUGCCUAAUACAUGCAAGUCGAGCGAACAGAUAAGGAGCUUGCUCCUUUGACGUUAGCGGCGGACGGGUGAGUAACACGUGGGUAACCUACCUAUAAGACUGGGAUAACUUCGGGAAACCGGAGCUAAUACCGGAUAACAUUUGGAACCGCAUGGUUCUAAAGUGAAAGAUGGUUUUGCUAUCACUUAUAGAUGGACCCGCGCCGUAUUAGCUAGUUGGUAAGGUAACGGCUUACCAAGGCAACGAUACGUAGCCGACCUGAGAGGGUGAUCGGCCACACUGGAACUGAGACACGUUCCAGACUCCUACGGGAGGCAGCAGUAGGGAAUCUUCCGCAAUGGGCGAAAGCCUGACGGAGCAACGCCGCGUGAGUGAUGAAGGGUUUCGGCUCGUAAAACUCUGUUAUUAGGGAAGAACAAAUGUGUAAGUAACUGUGCACGUCUUGACGGUACCUAAUCAGAAAGCCACGGCUAACUACGUG
rnacentral:rRNA from 1 species